rnacentral:rRNA from 1 species
UACGAAGGGGGCUAGCGUUGCUCGGAAUCACUGGGCGUGAAGCGCACGUAGGCGGAUUGCUAAGUCAGGGGUGAAAUCCUGGAGCUCAACUCCAGAACUGCCUUUGAUACUGGCGAUCUUGAGUCCGGAAGAGGCGAGUGGAACUCCUGGUGUAGCGGUGGAAUGCGCAGAUAUCAGGAAGAACACCAACGGCGAAGGCAGCUCGCUAGGACGGUACUGACGCUGAGACGCGAAAGCGUGGGGAGCGAACAGG